GACGAACGCUGGCGGCGUGCUUAACACAUGCAAGUCGAACGCUGAAGCUCAGCUUUUGUUGGGUGGAUGAGUGGCGAACGGGUGAGUAACACGUGAGUAACCUGCCUCCUUCUUUGGGAUAACGCCCGGAAACGGGUGCUAAUACUGGAUAUUCACUGGUCUUCGCAUGGGGGUUGGUGGAAAGGGUUUUUCUGGUGGGGGAUGGGCUCGCGGCCUAUCAGCUUGUUGGUGGGGUGAUGGCCUACCAAGGCUUUGACGGGUAGCCGGCCUGAGAGGGUGACCGGUCACAUUGGGACUGAGAUACGGCCCAGACUCCUACGGGAGGCAGCAGUGGGGAAUAUUGCACAAUGGGCGCAAGCCUGAUGCAGCGACGCCGCGUGAGGGGUGGAGGCCUUCGGGUUGUGAACCUCUUUCGCUCAUGGUCAAGCCGCAACAAUGGUUGUGGUGAGGGUAGUGGGUAAAGAAGCGCCGGCUAACUACGUG
rnacentral:rRNA from 1 species